UUUACUUUUUUUUUUUUUUUUUUUUUUUUGCAAAUUUUUGUGUU
rnacentral:ribozyme from 11 species